CACGUAGGGUGCGAGCGUUGUCCGGAAUUAUUGGGCGUAAAGAGCUCGUAGGCGGUGUGUCGCGUCGGCCGUGAAAACCUGCAGCUUAACUGUGGGCGUGCGGUCGAUACGGGCAUCACUGGAGUUCGGCAGGGGAGACUGGAAUUCCUGGUGUAGCGGUGAAAUGCGCAGAUAUCAGGAGGAACACCGGUGGCGAAGGCGGGUCUCUGGACCGAGACUGACGCUGAGGCGCGAAAGCGUGGGGAGCAAACAGG
rnacentral:rRNA from 1 species